AUUGAACGCUGGCGGCAUGCUUUACACAUGCAAGUCGAACGGUAACAGGCCUUCGGGUGCUGGCGAGUGGCGAACGGGUGCGUAAUGCAUCGGAACGUACCCAGAGGUGGGGGAUAACGCAGCGAAAGCUGUGCUAAUACCGCAUGUGAUCUGAGGAUGAAAGCGGGGGACCGAGCAGCAAUGUUUGGCCUCGCGCCUUUGGAGCGGCCGAUGUCGGAUUAGCUAGUUGGUGGGGUAAAGGCCUACCAAGGCGACGAUCCGUAGCUGGUCUGAGAGGACGACCAGCCACACUGGGACUGAGACACGGCCCAGACUCCUACGGGAGGCAGCAGUGGGGAAUUUUGGACAAUGGGCGCAAGCCUGAUCCAGCAAUGCCGCGUGCGGGAAGAAGGCCUUCGGGUUGUAAACCGCUUUUGGCAGGAACGAAACGGUGUCCGCUAAUACCGGGCGCUAAUGACGGUACCUGCAGAAUAAGCACCGGCUAACUACGUG
rnacentral:rRNA from 1 species